CCUACGGGGGGCAGCAGUGAGGAAUAUUGGUCAAUGGUCGGGAGACUGAACCAGCCAAGCCGCGUGAGGGAUGAAGGUACAGAGUAUCGUAAACCUCUUUUGUCAGGGAAUAAAGGCGGGGACGUGUCCCCGGAUGAGUGUACCUGAAGAAAAAGCAUCGGCUAACUCCGUGCCAGCAGCCGCGGUAAUACGGAGGAUGCGAGCGUUAUCCGGAUUUAUUGGGUUUAAAGGGUGCGAGGGCGGUGUGUUAAGUCAGCGGUAAAAGCCCGGGGCUCAACCCGGACCCGCCGUUGAAACUGGCAGUCGCGAGUUGGAGAGAAGUAUGCGGAAUGCGCGGUGUAGCGGUGAAAUGCAUAGAUAUCGCGAAGAACUCCGAUUGCGAAGGCAGCAUGCCGGCUCCACACUGACGCUGAGGCACGAAAGCGUGGGUAUCGAACAGGAUUAGAUACCCGUGUAGUC
rnacentral:rRNA from 1 species